GGACUACCGGGGUAUCUAAUCCCGUUUGCUCCCCUGGCUUUCGCGCCUCAGCGUCAGUAGAGGGCCAGCGUGUCGCUUUCGCCACCGGCGUUCCUUCCGAUAUCUACGCAUUUCACCGCUCCACCGGAAGUUCCACACGCCCCUACCUCCCUCGAGACCGCCAGUAUCAGGGGCUCUUCUGCGGUUGAGCCGCAGGAUUUCACCCUUGACUUGGCAGUCCGCCUACGCGCCCUUUAAGCCCAGUGAUUCCGAAUAACGUUCGCACGGUUCGUCUUACCGCGGCUGCUGGCAC
rnacentral:rRNA from 1 species